UGAGGUGAAACUUUGGUCUAAAAAAAAAAAAAGAUGAAGUGAACACAUAAAUAAAACAUAAAAACACAGGUGAAGCUUGUUUGCAGCUACCUUGUUUGAGUGCUACAUACAGGAGGGACACCACAGGACGCCAAGCUGGACUUAAUGACACGGGGAACCUCAUCUCCAUUAAACAACAACAAGAGGACGACAGAAAUCUGCUGUGUUGCUGUAGAACCUCAUCUCCAUUAAAGAUCAACAAGAGGGCGACAGAAAUCUGCUGUGUUGCUGUGGAACCUCAUCUCCAUUAAAGACAAACAAAAGGGCGACAG